AGAGGAAGUAAAAGUCGUAACAAGGUUUCCGUAGGUGAACCUGCGGAAGGAUCAUUAUCGAGUUUUGAAACGGGUUGUAGCUGACCUCAAUUGGGGUAUGUGCACGCCUGGCUCAUUCCACUCUCAAACCCCUGUGCACUUAUUGUAGGCUUGGUGGGAUAGGCUGACUUUCACUAGUCAGUCUUGAAAGCUUCGCCUAUGUUUUAAUACAAACGCUUCAGUUUAGAAUGUAAUCAUUGCUAACAAGCAAAUUAAAUACAACUUUCAGCAACGGAUCUCUUGGCUCUCGCAUCGAUGAAGAACGCAGCGAAAUGCGAUAAGUAAUGUGAAUUGCAGAAUUCAGUGAAUCAUCGAAUCUUUGAACGCACCUUGCGCUCUUUGGUAUUCCGAAGAGCAUGCCUGUUUGAGUGUCAUGGUAUCAUCAACCUUCAACACUUUUGUGAUUGAAGGCUUGGAUUUGGAGGUUGUGUCGGUGCAUUCGUAUCGACUCCUCUGAAAUGUAUUAGCGUGAAUCUUACGGAUCGCCUUCGGUGUGAUAAUUACUGCGCCGUGGACGUGAAGUAUAACAGUGUUCGUGCUUACAAUCGUCUUUAACAGAGACAACACUUUGACAAUCUGACCUCAAAUCAGGUAGGAUUACCCGCUGAACUUAAGCAUAUCA
rnacentral:rRNA from 1 species